rnacentral:rRNA from 1 species
AGUGAACGCUGGCGGUAGGCCUAACACAUGCCAGUCGAACGGCAGCACAGUAAGAGCUUGCUCUUACGGGUGGCGAGUGGCGGACGGGUGAGGAAUACAUCGGAAUCUACUUUUUCGUGGGGGAUAACGUAGGGAAACUUACGCUAAUACCGCAUACGACCUACGGGUGAAAGCAGGGGAUCUUCGGACCUUGCGCGAUUGAAUGAGCCGAUGUCGGAUUAGCUAGUUGGCGGGGUAAAGGCCCACCAAGGCGACGAUCCGUAGCUGGACUGAGAGGAUGAUCAGCCACGCUGGAACUGAGACACGGUCCAGACUCAUACGGGAGGCAGCAGUGAGGAAUGUUGAACAAUGGGCGCAAGCCUGAUCCAGCCAUACCGCGUGGGUGAAGAAGGCCUGCGGGUGGUAAAGCCCUUUUGUUGGGAAAGAAAAUCAGCAGGUUAAUACCCCGCUGUUCGGACGGUACCCAAAGAAUAAGCACCGGCCAACUUCGU